rnacentral:rRNA from 2 species
UACAGAGGGUGCGAGCGUUAAUCGGAGUUACUGGGCGUAAAGGGUGCGUAGGCGGUUGAGUGAGUGUGAUGUGAAAGCCCCGGGCUUAACCUGGGAAGUGCAUCGCAAACGACUUGACUGGAGUAGAUGAGAGGGUGAUGGAAUUUCCGGUGUAGCGGUGAAAUGCGUAGAGAUCGGAAGGAACGUCGAUGGCGAAGGCAGUCACCUGGCAUCAUACUGACGCUGAGGCACGAAAGCGUGGGGAGCGAACAGG